CUUUGAACAUCGUUGUGCGUGUUUUUUCACUUACCAGCCCAAAAAAGAAUAAUUUGCCUGUAAAUAAAGGAGCUCUAAAAUGUUCAUAAAAGUGUUCGUUCUGAUUUUGGCUUUGGCAACGCUACUUCACUGUGCACCCUUUGGAGAGAAAUUUGCCUCUAUAGUGAACAAUUGUUUCAAUAAUUGCACGAACGCGAGAAGUAAUUGCACUGAAGCAGCAGCAGGCAAUUCAAUAACAUUGUCCAAUUGUCAAAUACAAUCGAUGUUACUCAACUUGUGUAACUUUGACAAAUACUCUUUACGAGGCAAUUCAAAGUCAUUUAAGAGCAAUCCAAUCUUUACGGCGAAAUUAAAAAUGAUGCGGUCGGAGUGAGUGCCAUUUCACCAUGUUUGAUUCGCCAGCUAAUGGCAAUUGCAGUUUUUUUUCAGUGAAUUCAUCCAGCUCACAUAAUAUCUGUUACGACGCGUUAUCUCCUAAUUGGCUGCAGCUAUUUUGAUUUUGUGACCAUCAUGCCAAAAGAUUCUUUUGUUUUGUCCAAUUAUUAUGUCAGUUGAAUGUAAUCACUGGUUUUUUUUAGCCCAAUGAAACCAAAUUGUUAGAUUAGUAUGCUGAUUUUACUUCAAUAAAUAUUGUCGUUUUUUACUGUA